rnacentral:rRNA from 1 species
CCUACGGGUGGCAGCAGUGGGGAAUAUUGCACAAUGGGGGAAACCCUGAUGCAGCGACGCCGCGUGAGUGAAGAAGUAAUUCGUUACGUAAAGCUCUAUCAGCAGGGAAGAAACACUGACCUUACGGUCAGCAGACGGUACCUGAGUAAGAAGCCCCGGCUCACUACGUGCCAGCAGCCGCGGUAAUACGUAGGGGGCACGCGUUUUACGGAUUUACUGGGUGUAAAGGGAGCGUAGACGGUGCGCCAAGUCUGGAGUGAAAUGCCGCAGCUUAACUGCGGAACUGCUUUGGAAACUGGCGAACUAGAGUGCGGGAGGGGUAAGCGGAAUUCGUAGUGUAGCGGUGAAAUGCGUAGAUAUUAGGAGGAACACCGGUGGCGAAGGCGGCUUACUGGACCGUAACUGACGUUGAGGCUCGAAAGCGUGGGGAGCAAACAGGAUUAGAUACCCUGGUAGUC